rnacentral:misc_RNA from 1 species
GGAUGUUAGUCUCGGGCCAAAGAACUUCAAGUCGGGGUUAGAUAUGUUCAACUACUUCAUCGAGUUCCUUCAUUUCUGGGUCCCCAACCUGGAUAUCAACGAGUAUGAGCACAGGGUGCUACUGGACUUGCUGAAGAAGGGUCAUGCUGAGUAUGAGAAGAAGAUUGGCGAAGGGGUUCGUGCUUUCCAAGUCCGCUACCAUCCAACUUAUAAGAGCCGUUGCUUCUUCCUUGUACGUGUCGAUGGAAGUUUAGAUGAUUUCAGCUUCCGCAAGUGUGUAGACAGCAUACUUCCCUUGCCAGAG